UCGUUACGAUGAAAGAGGAAACAUAGUGAGAUAUGGUGACAACGUCCGAGUUGUCGAGACAAUGGCUGAAAUAUUUAAUUUUACCCCACACUUCAUGGAACCACCUGGAGGUAGUUUAUGGGGAUACCAGCUACCAAACGGGACGUGGACGGGAAUGGUGGGUAUGUUUGAGAGAGGCGAUGGCGAUCUAGGGAUCGCUAAUCUCUACAUCUCGGAUUUAGGAGGACGAAACCAGCACCAACAAUAUACGGCACCCUUCGGACAGGAGUGACGACUACAGGAAGUUUACUGAUCAUGCAGACAACACAGAAUGCCUGACUUCUCAUCCUUCUAAGAUUACUAAUUGGGACAGAUAAAACUCAGAAAUCAAAUUUUCAUUUAUCAACUCGACCCAAUCUUUUACACAACUAUUCCUUCUCUUCCAGUGACACUUAAAACUCUUUCCCUUUAUCCUGUACGGAAUAUUGUUGGUCUG